rnacentral:rRNA from 1 species
GAUGAACGCUGGCGGCGUGCCUAAUACAUGCAAGUCGAGCGAAUGGAUUAAGAGCUUGCUCUUAUGAAGUUAGCGGCGGACGGGUGAGUAACACGUGGGUAACCUGCCCAUAAGACUGGGAUAACUCCGGGAAACCGGGGCUAAUACCGGAUAACAUUUUGAACCGCAUGGUUCGAAAUUGAAAGGCGGCUUCGGCUGUCACUUAUGGAUGGACCCGCGUCGCAUUAGCUAGUUGGUUAGGUAACGGCUCACCAAGGCAACGAUGCGUAGCCGAGCUGAGAGGGUGAUCGGCCACACUGGGACUGAGACACGGCCCAGACUCCUACGGGAGGCAGCAGUAGGGAAUCUUCCGCAAUGGACGAAAGUCUGACGGAGCAACGCCGCGUGAGUGAUGAAGGCUUUCGGGUCGUAAAACUCUGUUGUUAGGGAAGAACAAGUGCUAGUUGAAUAAGCUGGCACCUUGACGGUACCUAACCAGAAAGCCACGGCUAACUACGUGCCAGCAGCCGCCGUAA